rnacentral:rRNA from 1 species
GAUGAACGCUGGCGGCGUGCCUAAUACAUGCAAGUCGAGCGAACGGACGAGAAGCUUGCUUUUCUGAUGUUAGCGGCGGACGGGUGAGUAACACGUGGAUAACCUACCUAUAAUACUGGGAUAACUUCGGGAAACCGGAGCUAAUACCGGAUAAUAUUUUGAACCGCAUGGUUCAAAAGUGAAAGACGGUCUUUCUGGCACUUCUAGAUGUAUCCGCGCUGCAUUAGCUGGUUGUUAAUGUAACGGCUUACCAAGGGAACGAUGCAUAGCCGACCUGAGAGGGUGAUCGGCCACACUGGAACUGAGACACGGUCCAGACUCCUACGGGAGGCAGCAGUAGGGAAUCUUCCGCAAUGGGCGAAAGCCUGACGGAGCAACGCCGCGUGAGUGAUGAAGGUCUUCGGAUCGUAAAACUCUGUUAUUAGGGAAGAACAUAUGUGUAAGUAACUGUGCACAUCUUGACGGUACCUAAUCAGAAAGCCACGGCUAACUACGUG